UUUAAUUUAGCUUACAACAAUCAAAUAUGGCAUGGAGAUGGGAGCUAGAACUCUUCAAAAUAGAGUCUAAAUAUCAGUAAUCUUCAUGAACCUGUGUACCAUCUAUGGCAAAAGGAAAGUCUACAUUGGGGGAAUGUCAACAGCCUUUUUGGUGCACUGUGUCCUGGUUGGUAUUAGUGCUGCUUAUGAAUUGUCAUUUAUUGAUGGACGAUCGUGGUGUCUUGUCAGUUAGGCACGAAAAUUGGUCUAAUGUGAGAAGAUACUUUAAUUUUUCUUUACUCUAUUUGCAUAAUAACGUGUCAACUAGUGAUUGUAGUGGAGGAUAUAACGGAAGACUUGCUUCAGGCGCUAGGUUGGGCAAAGCUUG
rnacentral:lncRNA from 1 species